UGGGGAAUUUUGGACAAUGGGCGGAAGCCUGAUCCAGCAAUGCCGCGUGUGUGAAGAAGGCCUUCGGGUUGUAAAGCACUUUUGUCCGGAAAGAAAUCCUCUGGGUUAAUACCUCGGGGGGAUGACGGUACCGGAAGAAUAAGCACCGGCUAACUACGUGCCAGCAGCCGCGGUAAUACGUAGGGUGCAAGCGUUAAUCGGAAUUACUGGGCGUAAAGCGUGCGCAGGCGGUUUUGUAAGACGGAUGUGAAAUCCCCGGGCUUAACCUGGGAACUGCAUUCGUGACUGCAAGGCUAGAGUAUGGCAGAGGGGGGUAGAAUUCCACGUGUAGCAGUGAAAUGCGUAGAGAUGUGGAGGAAUACCGAUGGCGAAGGCAGCCCCCUGGGCCAAUACUGACGCUCAUGCACGAAAAGCGUGGGGGAGCAAAACAGGAUUAGAUACCCUGGUAGUCCACGCCCUAAACGAUGUCAACUAGUUGUUGGGGAUUCAUUUCCUUAGUAACGUAGCUAACGCGUGAAGUUGACCGCCUGGGGGAGUACGGUCGCAAGAUUAAAACUUAAAUGAAUUGACGGGUCAUAGCUGUUUCCU
rnacentral:rRNA from 1 species